GUGGUUCAGUGGUAGAACUUUCGCCUGCCAUGCGAGAGACCCGGGUUCGAUUUCAACCCGAC
rnacentral:tRNA from 1 species